rnacentral:lncRNA from 1 species
GAUAAUGCCCGAGGUACGCGACAUUCGUGGGUAAGAAUGGCCCGAGGGCGAAGCCCGAGGGCCAUUCUUACCCACGAAUGGCGCGGUACCGAGCGGUAUUAUCCGACUUAAACUCCACCCGUGACGUCACCCUAUUGUCCUAGCGCUCCAUUAUUUUGCACGAAUGGAGCGACUUUGUUUCAUACAAAGACACACGUUUUGUCUUAUUGCGUAACUGUAAAAUGCAUUCAAAGGAAUUGUACAGAAUUGGACUGCGAAUAGUAUGUUAGCAUAAUGUUCUUACGUAACCAAUACAAUGCUGGAUUCUAGGCGCGCUUGGUAUAAAUGCUAAACCCCACCAAGGCACCAUGCAUUCGUUCUUGACUAGCGUGUCUGACACGCAGUUUUCAAUCUCAAGACGUUAGGACUGUUAUGAUAAAAAUACGUGAGAUACAGUGGAAUUAAAGCGUGCCAGGGAACUGGCUUUGAUACGGUGCUGAUACUAGCUCCAUGGAUAUAUCGGAUAAUAAUUUGCCGGCCGCUUCAAAUUUUGCCUGGAAGAUAUGAAAGACCAUUUCGACACUCCAAAUGAAUAUGAAGAUUGCAUGAAUGAGUAUAAAGUUCUGCCUGUGGAUAGUGUCACGAAGAAGGUCAAAACUAGCGGGCAGUCUCCAGUCGGACUACUUCGUCGACGGCAUUACCAACGUAACUCGAGACUAGUAAAACUACUCAUCGUUGGACAAGGAAGGACGAGCUAAAACCACUCAAAAUUGCAAGACUAAGAUUUUGGUGGUUUUUUUUUGUGUGCAAAAUGGCUACAAGUGUUCCAGGCCGGAUUUACAUUGCACGAACUCGUGAUUUUCCUUCAACUUUUCUUGGACACCAUGGAAAAGACCUACACAUUUCUUCAGGAUGUUGAGUUCUUGCCGAUCAAGAAUUUCUAGGACUGCAUGCUAGGCAUUGAAACCCAGGAACAAGAUUGAGAAAUAAAUUGCACUGCGAACCUUGUCAAAACAUUUGCUUUCAAUGUGAAACAUAUCACUGAAACGUUUAUAUUGUUACAUGUAACAUUACUUUGUGCAAACAUUAUGAACAAGAAAAAAAUGGUUCUUGACUUUCGCCUCAACACUAAGAAAUUGUAUACGAGAAUGCAUAACAUUCUAUUUGCAAAACGGUGUAGCAUACUGUAUAAAAAAUAUGGUUAUAUUGACUUUCACGUAAAGAAUGAUGCCUAAAAUUCCAUUUAAGAAACGGUGUAGGGCCUACGAAAAAAAUCUGUAUGAGAAAAAAAAUGGUUCUCGACUAACGUAAGCAUUGUACGAAAUGUAUAAGAAAAUGCAUAAAAUCAUCAUUGAGAAACGGUGUAAAAAUA